rnacentral:rRNA from 1 species
AGGGUUCGAUUCUGGCUCAGGAUGAACGCUAGCGGCAGGCCUAAUACAUGCAAGUCGAACGGGAAGGGGCCCUUCGGGGUCUCUGAGAGUGGCGCACGGGUGCGUAACGCGUAUGCAACCAACCCCGCACUGGGGGACAGCCGGUGGAAACGCCGGGUAAUACCCCAUGCCGACGGGAGGGGACAUCCCCAUCCGUUGAAAGGCUUCGGUCGGUGCGGGACGGGCAUGCGUCCCAUUAGCUAGUCGGCGGGGUAACGGCCCACCGAGGCGAUGAUGGGUAGGGGAUCUGAGAGGACGGUCCCCCACACUGGUACUGAGACACGGACCAGACUCCUACGGGAGGCAGCAGUAAGGAAUAUUGGGCAAUGGGGGGAACCCUGACCCAGCCAUGCCGCGUGAGGGAAGUAGGCCCUACGGGUCGUGAACCUCUUUUGUCGGGGGACAAGGACGCCCACGAGAUGGGUGUUUGCGGGUACCCGGCGAAUAAGCAUCGGCUAACUCCGUGCCAGCCGCCGC